rnacentral:rRNA from 1 species
GGUUAAGCGACUAAGCGUACACGGUGGAUGCCCUGGCAGUCAGAGGCGAUGAAGGACGUGCUAAUCUGCGAUAAGCGUCGGUAAGGUGAUAUGAACCGUUAUAACCGGCGAUUUCCGAAUGGGGAAACCCAGUGUGAUUCGUCACACUAUCAUUAACUGAAUCCAUAGGUUAAUGAGGCGAACCGGGGGAACUGAAACAUCUAAGUACCCCGAGGAAAAGAAAUCAACCGAGAUUCCCCCAGUAGCGGCGAGCGAACGGGGAGGAGCCCAGAGCCUGAAUCAGUGUGUGUGUUAGUGGAAGCGUCUGGAAAGGCGCGCGAUACAGGGUGACAGCCCCGUACACAAAAAUGCACAUGCUGUGAGCUCGAUGAGUAGGGCGGGACACGUGGUAUCCUGUCUGAAUAUGGGGGGACCAUCCUCCAAGGCUAAAUACUCCUGACUGACCGAUAGUGAACCAGUACCGUGAGGGAAAGGCGAAAAGAACCCCGGCGAGGGGAGUGAAAAAGAACCUGAAACCGUGUACGUACAAGCAGUGGGAGCACGCUUCGGCGUGUGACUGCGUACCUUUUGUAUAAUGGGUCAGCGACUUAUAUUCUGUAGCAAGGUUAACCGAAUAGGGGAGCCGAAGGGAAACCGAGUCUUAACUGGGCGUUAAGUUGCAGGGUAUAGACCCGAAACCCGGUGAUCUAGCCAUGGGCAGGUUGAAGGUUGGGUAACACUAACUGGAGGACCGAACCGACUAAUGUUGAAAAAUUAGCGGAUGACUUGUGGCUGGGGGUGAAAGGCCAAUCAAACCGGGAGAUAGCUGGUUCUCCCCGAAAGCUAUUUAGGUAGCGCCUCGUGAAUUCAUCUCCGGGGGUAGAGCACUGUUUCGGCAAGGGGGUCAUCCCGACUUACCAACCCGAUGCAAACUGCGAAUACCGGAGAAUGUUAUCACGGGAGACACACGGCGGGUGCUAACGUCCGUCGUGAAGAGGGAAACAACCCAGACCGCCAGCUAAGGUCCCAAAGUCAUGGUUAAGUGGGAAACGAUGUGGGAAGGCCCAGACAGCCAGGAUGUUGGCUUAGAAGCAGCCAUCAUUUAAAGAAAGCGUAAUAGCUCACUGGUCGAGUCGGCCUGCGCGGAAGAUGUAACGGGGCUAAACCAUGCACCGAAGCUGCGGCAGCGACACUAUGUGUUGUUGGGUAGGGGAGCGUUCUGUAAGCCUGUGAAGGUGUACUGUGAGGUAUGCUGGAGGUAUCAGAAGUGCGAAUGCUGACAUAAGUAACGAUAAAGCGGGUGAAAAGCCCGCUCGCCGGAAGACCAAGGGUUCCUGUCCAACGUUAAUCGGGGCAGGGUGAGUCGACCCCUAAGGCGAGGCCGAAAGGCGUAGUCGAUGGGAAACAGGUUAAUAUUCCUGUACUUGGUGUUACUGCGAAGGGGGGACGGAGAAGGCUAUGUUGGCCGGGCGACGGUUGUCCCGGUUUAAGCGUGUAGGCUGGUUUUCCAGGCAAAUCCGGAAAAUCAAGGCUGAGGCGUGAUGACGAGGCACUACGGUGCUGAAGCAACAAAUGCCCUGCUUCCAGGAAAAGCCUCUAAGCAUCAGGUAACAUCAAAUCGUACCCCAAACCGACACAGGUGGUCAGGUAGAGAAUACCAAGGCGCUUGAGAGAACUCGGGUGAAGGAACUAGGCAAAAUGGUGCCGUAACUUCGGGAGAAGGCACGCUGAUAUGUAGGUGAAGCGACUUGCUCGUGGAGCUGAAAUCAGUCGAAGAUACCAGCUGGCUGCAACUGUUUAUUAAAAACACAGCACUGUGCAAACACGAAAGUGGACGUAUACGGUGUGACGCCUGCCCGGUGCCGGAAGGUUAAUUGAUGGGGUUAGCGGUAACGCGAAGCUCUUGAUCGAAGCCCCGGUAAACGGCGGCCGUAACUAUAACGGUCCUAAGGUAGCGAAAUUCCUUGUCGGGUAAGUUCCGACCUGCACGAAUGGCGUAAUGAUGGCCAGGCUGUCUCCACCCGAGACUCAGUGAAAUUGAACUCGCUGUGAAGAUGCAGUGUACCCGCGGCAAGACGGAAAGACCCCGUGAACCUUUACUAUAGCUUGACACUGAACAUUGAGCCUUGAUGUGUAGGAUAGGUGGGAGGCUUUGAAGUGUGGACGCCAGUCUGCAUGGAGCCGACCUUGAAAUACCACCCUUUAAUGUUUGAUGUUCUAACGUUGGCCCGUGAUCCGGGUUGCGGACAGUGUCUGGUGGGUAGUUUGACUGGGGCGGUCUCCUCCUAAAGAGUAACGGAGGAGCACGAAGGUUGGCUAAUCCUGGUCGGACAUCAGGAGGUUAGUGCAAUGGCAUAAGCCAGCUUGACUGCGAGCGUGACGGCGCGAGCAGGUGCGAAAGCAGGUCAUAGUGAUCCGGUGGUUCUGAAUGGAAGGGCCAUCGCUCAACGGAUAAAAGGUACUCCGGGGAUAACAGGCUGAUACCGCCCAAGAGUUCAUAUCGACGGCGGUGUUUGGCACCUCGAUGUCGGCUCAUCACAUCCUGGGGCUGAAGUAGGUCCCAAGGGUAUGGCUGUUCGCCAUUUAAAGUGGUACGCGAGCUGGGUUUAGAACGUCGUGAGACAGUUCGGUCCCUAUCUGCCGUGGGCGCUGGAGAACUGAGGGGGGCUGCUCCUAGUACGAGAGGACCGGAGUGGACGCAUCACUGGUGUUCGGGUUGUCAUGCCAAUGGCACUGCCCGGUAGCUAAAUGCGGAAGAGAUAAGUGCUGAAAGCAUCUAAGCACGAAACUUGCCCCGAGAUGAGUUCUCCCUGACUCCCUGAGAGUCCUGAAGGAACGUUGAAGACGACGACGUUGAUAGGCCGGGUGUGUAAGCGCAGCGAUGCGUUGAGCUAACCGGUACUAAUGAACCGUGAGGCUUAACCUU